rnacentral:tRNA from 23 species
UCCUUUCGUAGUACCCUACCCCCAGGGGAAUUCGAAUCCCCGCUGCCUCCUUGAAAGAGAGAUGUCCUAAACC